CCCUUAGAUGUUCUGGGCCGCACGCGCACUACACUGACGAAGUCAGCGAGCAUGUCCUACGCCGACAGGUGCGGGGAAUCUUGUCAAACUUCGUCGUGAUGGGGAUUGAUUAUUGAAAUUCUUGAUCAUCAACGAGGAAUUCCUAGUAAGCGCAAGUCAGCAGCUUGCGUUGAUUACGUCCCUGCCCUUUGUACACACCGCCCGUCGCUACUACCGAUUGAAUGGUUUAGUGAGAUCUUCGGAUUGGCGCCACUGCGGCUCAGCAAUGGGCUCGGUGGAUGCCGAAAAGUUGAUCAAACUUGAUCAUUUAGAGGAAGUAAAAGUCGUAACA
rnacentral:rRNA from 1 species